AGAGUUUGAUCUGGCUCAGGAUGAACGCUGGCGGCGUGCUUAACACAUGCAAGUCGAACGGAGUUUUUAAACGGAAGUUUUCGGAUGGAAGUUUAGAAACUUAGUGGCGGACGGGUGAGUAACGCGUGGGUAACCUGCCUCAUACAGGGGGAUAACAGUUAGAAAUGACUGCUAACACCGCAUAAUAUAGCGAAACCGCAUGAUUUUGCUAUCAAAUAUUUAUAGGUAUGAGAUGGGCCCGCGUCUGAUUAGCUAGUUGGUGGGGUAAAAGCCUACCAAGGCGAUGAUCAGUAGCCGGCUUGAGAGAGUGACCGGCCACAUUGGGACUGAGACACGGCCCAAACUCCUACGGGAGGCAGCAGUGGGGAAUAUUGGACAAUGGGGGAAACCCUGAUCCAGCCGACGCCGCGUGAGUGAAGAAGUAUUUCGGUAUGUAAAGCUCUAUCAGCAGGGAAGAUAAUGACAGUACCUGACUAAGAAGCCCCGGCUAACUACGUGCCAGCCGCCGC
rnacentral:rRNA from 1 species